CGGACCGGCGCGACGGGUGAGUAACGCGUAUGCAACUUACCUAUCAGGAGGGGGACUAACCCGGCGAAAGUCGGACUAAUACCGCAUGAAGCAGGGGCCCCGCAUGGGGAUAUUUGCUAAAGAUUCAUCGCUGAUAGAUAGGCAUGCGUUCCAUUAGGCAGUUGGCGGGGUAACGGCCCACCAAACCGACGAUGGAUAGGGGUUCUGAGAGGAAGGUCCCCCACAUUGGUACUGAGACACGGACCAAACUCCUACGGGAGGCAGCAG
rnacentral:rRNA from 1 species